UUAGAACGCUGGCGGCAUGCUUUACACAUGCAAGUCGAACGGCAGCACAGGGAGCUUGCUCCCGGGUGGCGAGUGGCGCACGGGUGAGUAAUACAUCGGAACGUGUCCUGUUGGUGGGGGAUAACUGCUCGAAAGGGUGGCUAAUACCGCAUGAGACCUGAGGGUGAAAGCGGGGGAUCGCAAGACCUCGCGCAAUUGGAGCGGCCGAUGCCCGAUUAGCUAGUUGGUGAGGUAAAGGCUCACCAAGGCGACGAUCGGUAGCUGGUCUGAGAGGACGACCAGCCACACUGGGACUGAGACACGGCCCAGACUCCUACGGGAGGCAGCAGUGGGGAAUUUUGGACAAUGGGGGCAACCCUGAUCCAGCCAUGCCGCGUGCAGGAUGAAGGCCUUCGGGUUGUAAACUGCUUUUGUCAGGGACGAAAAGGACCGUGUUAAUACCAUGGUCUGCUGACGGUACCUGAAGAAUAAGCACCGGCUAACUACGUG
rnacentral:rRNA from 1 species